CUGCAUGGCUGUCGUCAGCUCGUGUCGUGAGAUGUUCGGUUAAGUCCGCUAACGAGCGCAACCCUCGCUGUGUGUUACAAGUGUCACACGGAACCGCCGGGUCAUAAACCGGAGGAAGUGGGAUGACGUCAAGUCAGCAUGGCCUUUAUAUCCUGGGCUACACACACGCUACAAUGGGAAGGGACAAUAGGUUGCGAAGCCGCGAGGUGGAGCCAAUCCAGCAAAACUUCCCUCAGUUCAGAUUGCGGGCUGCAACUCGCCUGCAUGAAGUUGGAGUUGCUAGUAAACGCAGGUCAGCCAUACUGCGUUGAAUACGUUCCCGGGGCUU
rnacentral:rRNA from 1 species